GGCUCCUUAGCUCAGUUGGUAGAGCGGCACGUUGAAGGCGUGCGCGUCGCUGGUUCAAUUCCAGCAGGAGCCACCA
rnacentral:tRNA from 1 species